UACGGGGGGGGCAAGCGUUGUUCGGAAUUACUGGGCGUAAAGGGCUCGUAGGCGGCCAACUAAGUCAGACGUGAAAUCCCUCGGCUUAACCGGGGAACUGCGUCUGAUACUGGAUGGCUUGAGGUUGGGAGAGGGAUGCGGAAUUCCAGGUGUAGCGGUGAAAUGCGUAGAUAUCUGGAGGACACCGGUGGCGAAGGCGGCAUCCUGGACCAAUUCUGACGCUGAGUGAGCGAAAGCCAGGGGAGCAAACGGG
rnacentral:rRNA from 1 species